rnacentral:rRNA from 1 species
CGGACGGGUGAGUAAUGUAUAGGAACUUGCCUAGUAGUGGGGGACAACGCGCGGAAACGCGCGCUAAUACCGCAUACGCUCUACGGAGGAAAGCGGGGGCUCUUCGGACCUCGUGCUACUAGAUAGGCCUAUAUUGGAUUAGCUAGUUGGUAAGGUAAAGGCUUACCAAGGCGACGAUCCAUAGCUGGUUUGAGAGAAUGAUCAGCCACACUGGGACUGAGACACGGCCCAG